CUCUCCGUAGUUCAAUGGAUAGAACGAGCGCCUCCUAAGCGCUAGAUACAGGUUCGAUUCCUGUCGGAGGGACCA
rnacentral:tRNA from 14 species